CCCGAACCCGAAUCCAAUUUUGAUUAUUAUAUUAGAGCCUCAAACGAAAUAUGGGAAUUCGGUCUUGCAAAAUCUAAGCCCUAGAAUCCCCUAUCGAGACAUGGCAGCUAAUGUCUUUUGCUCAAAGUCCUGGUCUGGUGCUCAACAAAUUUCAUGCAACCCCGUUAUGAGUCUCGAAGAAGAACUACUUUCUGGUACGGGCUACGAAUUGGUGGUGCAUCAUUCCGAAAAUGAAUGCCUAACAAGUGGGUUCGAAGAUUUAGGCAAUGACAGAGUUCUGUUCAAUGUUAUUGAAUAUAUCGAUGCUCUUCUGAAAGACAAGCAUAGGUAUGACCCUCAGCUAUUCUCUGAUUGAAUUACACAUAAUAUUUUUUGUAUUAGUAAACAUCUCGCGACUUCUUUUUUUGGUUAUGAAAUGGAAGCUAAAAACUUAUUUAUUGAGUUGAAGAAUAAGCUAGAAAUCUGCAAAAGCAAGCCUAU
rnacentral:lncRNA from 1 species